AGUCACUCUAGAGUACUUCGGUUCACUUUUUUUCACGUGAAUUACUCCCAUGCCUUCUCUCUCUCUCUCUCCAUUGAAGCUCCAUUGAAGAUGUGACGUCCUCCGCUAUUGCCGUCACCGCCGCCACUGCGGCUCGCGUCGCAUGAGCUCCUUCCACCGCCGCUCUCAAUGUGUUUGCUCCUUUCGUCGUCACACGAGCUCUCUCAGCCGUGCUCCCUCUGCCGCUGCUCUCGCGCUGCUUCUUCUCUCCUCGCCGGAGGUUUGUCAUCGUCUUCUCUCAUCGCUGUUAGUUCAGGUUCGCUGAAGGUUACACCAUCUAUGGUCGAGUGAAGAUCCCCAGCAAGAUAAAACGGUGGCAGGUGCAGCCAAUGAGUGGGUCGACGAAAUUAAGUGUCAAAGCAUCUAUUGAGAGGUACAAAAAAGCCAGUUCAGAUUCUUCUAAUGGUGGAUCCACUUCUGAGAUUAAUGCUCAGGCAAAUCUUGGGUGAGGCUUUGAGCAAUAUGGCUGUCAAGGAUCUCAAAAACCUUUUGGGGCUUUAUGAGCUUAUUUCUGCUAAAGAAGCUGUGAUCAAUGGUGGUGCUGAUUAGAUUGUCCUAAUAAACAAUUGGCUUACUUCAAGUAGGGUUGGAUCUUUGAAUGAUGACCAUAUUUCAUUUCUUAACCGAAUUUAUGCUUUGUUUAUCUGAAAAUUAGAGCUGCUGUGAACUAUGAUAGCUGCUGCUUCUGUGGAGGGUUAAAUUCAGGAUGCUUGUGACAAUUCUUGUAGCAUCUGUCUUGAAGCCUUCUGUGACAGUGAUCCUUCCACCGUGACAAGUUGCAAGCAUGAGUUUCAUUUUCAGUGCAUUCUGGAAUGGUAUUGUUCUUUGGCUUUCUCUGUUAACUGUU